UGUCUGUACUGGUGAGAUGAGUCUCUACCUUCUGAGGAACUUUCAUGCCAUUCGUUUGGUGUGAUGGGAAAUCAGGACUGUUACUUUGAAAAAAUUAGAGUGUUUAAAGCAGGCUAACGUCUGAAUACAUUAUCAUGGAAUAAUGAAAUAGGACGGAUUGAUUCUAUUUCGUUGGUUUCUAGGGUCACCGUAAUGAUUAAUAGGGAUAGUUGGGGGCAUUAGUAUUCAAUUGUCAGAGGUGAAAUUCUUGGAUUUAUUGAAGACUAACUACUGCGAAAGCAUUUGCCAAGGAUGUUUUCAUUAAUCAAGAACGAAAGUUAGGGGAUCGAAGACGAUCAGAUACCGUCGUAGUCUUAACCAUAAACUAUGCCGACUAGGGAUCGGACGAAGUUAAUUUUAUAAUGACGCGUUCGGCACCUUACG
rnacentral:rRNA from 1 species